GUGGGGAAUAUUGCGCAAUGGGGGCAACCCUGACGCAGCAACGCCGCGUGAGUGAAGAAGGUUUUAGGAUUGUAAAGCUCUGUCUUUGGGGACGAAACAAAUGACGGUACCCAAGGAGGAAGCCCCGGCUAACUACGUGCCAGCAGCCGCGGUAAUACGUAGGGGGCAAGCGUUGUCCGGAAUUACUGGGCGUAAAGGGCACGCAGGCGGUCUAAUAAGUCAGAUGUGAAAGUUUACAGCUUAACUGUGAAAGUGCAUUUGAAACUUAUGUACUUGAGUCUCGGAGAGGUAAGCGGAAGUCCUAGUAUAGCGGUGAAAUGCGUAGAUAUUAGGAGGAACACCGGUGGCGAAGGCGGCUUACUGGACGAGUACUGACGCUCAUGUGCGAAAGCGUGAGGGACAAACAGGAUUAGAAACCCCUGUAGUCC
rnacentral:rRNA from 1 species